UACGUAGGAUCCGAGCGUUGUCCGGAUUUACUGGGUGUAAAGGGCGUGUAGGUGGGCCUUUAAGUCGGUGGUGAAAUCUCACAGCUCAACUGUGAAACUGCCGUCGAUACUGGAGGUCUUGAGUGCGGAAGAGGGAAGUGGAAUUCAUGGUGUAGCGGUGAAAUGUGUAGAUAUCAUGAAGAACACCGGUAGCGAAGGCGGCUUCCUGGUCCGCAACUGACACUGAGGCGCGAAAGCGUGGGUAGCAAACAGGAUUAGAUACCCCCGUA
rnacentral:rRNA from 1 species